CACUCAACUGCUCAUGGCCAUCAGGACAUUCAACUUCCAUCCUCUCCUCCAUCAGGCCCCUAUCUGUGUGGCCUUAGCCCCGGUCCUCACUAUUUGGUGGCUAUGAUGCAGGACUCUCAACCCUCUUUUGGAACAGUGUUGCAUCAAGCAAGGGAGAAUGUUCUUCUAAAGGGACAGGAAAAGAAGAGAUGUCCACAUACUUCUCUCACUCUAAGAAGCCAGGAAAGGUCCCUGGUGCACUCCACUCUCCACAGAUGGGUUGGGUCAUAGCAUCCGAGAAGCUGUCAUGGUGACGAAGUCCUCGAAGCAGCGCCGAAUGUUGCCUUGUACAGCUGUGUCCUUCUCCCGGAAGGCCUCUGUCAGCACCUGCAGUUGGGUGCACACCUGGAUGAAGCGGUCCAGCUGCAUGGCAGGAUUGGCAGAGCGUGGGCAGUAGCGGGAGACCAGAAGCUGGGUGAACUGGGGGCUCAGGUUGUAGCCCAUUUGGGACAGAGCUUGCUGCAGCUCUGUGUAGCUAAUGGAGCCCGAGCGGUCCCGGUCAUACUGCUGGAAGAGGUUCUUCCACUGCUGGAUGAAUUUCCACAGGGCUGAGAAGCCGUGAACAUCGAUGCGGCCUGACUUGGUCUUGUCAAACAUGUUUAUCAUCAUGAGGCAGGUCUCAUCAUUGAAUGAGGACCAAUUGCAGUUGACCAGGGCCUGCUUUAGCUCCUUCAUGGAGAUAUAGCCACUGUGAUCUGAGUCCACCGACUGGAACCAGGAGUAGGCCUCAGGAUCCACAGUGGGAGGGGCGCCACCCUGUCCAUAAGGCCCAGGCUGCUGGGCACCAUAGGAACUUGGAGGUGGCUGACCAUAGGGGCCCCCUGGAGCUGCACCGCCAUAUGGUCCUCCUGGAGUUCCAGAGGGGAACAUGCCAGGACUGGGGUGUCCAUAAGGCCCUCCACCAGCUGGUGGUCCAUAAGGCCCUCCAGGGGCAGGACCCCCAUAACCACCAGGGGGUAGCCCACUGCCAUACUGCCCUCCACUAUUGGGGGGUCCAGGGUAGUAGCUACCCGGAGGGGCUCCUGGUGCUUGUCCUGCAGCUCCUGGGCAGCCCUGCCGGUACGGAUAGCUGGCCA
rnacentral:lncRNA from 1 species